rfam:Nicotiana attenuata strain TT chromosome 12, whole genome shotgun sequence.
GCAUUUGUAGUCCAACGGUUAGGAUAAUUGCCUUCCAAGCAAUAGACACUGGUUCGACUCCCGGCAGACGCA